AAAUCCUCAAACUUCAUUCUGUAAAAAGAGUGAAGCUUGGACUUUUGGGCGCGUGCUGGCCAUUGAUUGUCAGCUCUCCUAAAAUGCAUCGGCGGGAUCAUUCCUUGAUCAUCGUUGGUAUGAUAACUUCUAUCUAUAUCUUCGGUGAAUCAAUCACGAUCUUGUUUUCUGGAUACGUGCGUAAAGCACUGCCAUUGACAUU
rnacentral:misc_RNA from 1 species